rnacentral:rRNA from 1 species
UCGUGUCGUGAGAUGUUCGGUUAAGUCCGCUAACGAGCGCAACCCUCGCUGUGUGUUUACAAGUGUCACACGGUACUGCCGGUCUAAAACCGGAGGAAGGUGGGGAUGACGUCAAGUCAGCAUGGCCUUUAUAUCCUGGGCUACACACACGCUACAAUGGCCGGUACAGUAGGUGGCGAAGCCGCGAGGUGGAGCCAAUCCACAAAGCCGGUCUCAGUUCAGAUUGCAGGCUGCAACCCGCCUGCAUGAAGAUGGAGUUGCUAGUAACCGCAGGUCAGCUAUACUGCGGUGAAUACGUUCCCGGGGCUU